rnacentral:piRNA from 1 species
UGGCACUGCAGGCUUCUUGGUUGCCAA